rnacentral:rRNA from 1 species
UACGGAGGGGGCGAGCGUUGUCCGAAUUUAUUGGGCGUAAAGCGCGUGUAGGCGGACCAUCAAGCCUGAGGUGAAAGGUUGGGGCUCAACCCCAUACAGUGCCUUGGGGACUGUUGGUCUGGAGGCAGGCAGAGGUAUGUGGAAUUCCUGGUGUAGCGGUGGAAUGCGUAGAGAUCAGGAAGAACACCCAUGGCGAAGGCAGCAUACUGGGCCUGUACUGACGCUGAGACGCGAAAGCGUGGGGAGCGAACAGG